rnacentral:rRNA from 1 species
AGUGAACGCUGGCGGUAGGCCUAACACAUGCAAGUCGAACGGCAGCACAGUAAGAGCUUGCUCUUACGGGUGGCGAGUGGCGGACGGGUGAGGAAUACAUCGGAAUCUACUUUUUCGUGGGGGAUAACGUAGGGAAACUUACGCUAAUACCGCAUACGACCUACGGGUGAAAGCAGGGGAUCUUCGGACCUUGCGCGAUUGAAUGAGCCGAUGUCGGAUUAGCUAGUUGGCGGGGUAAAGGCCCACCAAGGCGACGAUCCGUAGCUGGUCUGAGAGGAUGAUCAGCCACACUGGAACUGAGACACGGUCCAGACUCCUACGGGAGGCAGCAGUGGGGAAUCUUGGACAAUGGGCGCAAGCCUGAUCCAGCCAUACCGCGUGGGUGAAGAAGGCCUUCGGGUUGUAAAGCCCUUUUGUUGGGAAAGAAAAGCAGCAUGUUAAUACCCCGCUGUUCUGACGGUACCCAAAGAAUAAGCCCCGGCUAACUUCGUG